rnacentral:lncRNA from 1 species
AAUCUCUCAGAUCUUGGUCUUUUAGCCUUACGGCCAAGUAGCUUUUAUUCUGGCUGUUGAUCAAUAUAAAAGGUUAAAUAAGAAUUACACAUGCUUACUUUCUUUUUUUUUUCUUCCUGAGACAGAGUCUCGCUCUGUCACCCAGGCUGCGCGAUCUCAGCUCACUGCAACUUCUGCCUCCCAGGUUCAAGCAACUUGCCUGCCUCAGCCUCCUGAAUAGUGGGAUUACAGGUGCCUGCCACCAUGCCCAGCUAAUUUUUUUAUUUUCAGUAGAGACGGGGUUUCACCAUGUUGGCCAGGCUGGUCUCGAACUCCUGACCUUGUGAUCCACCAGCCUCGGCCUCCCAAAGUGCUGGGAUUACAGGCAUGAGCCACCGUGCCCAGGCUACAUGCUUACUUUAAAAUAUUUUUAUCAUUUGUCUCAUAGUGAUAAAUGAAACUAAUUUUAUAUAUGCACAGAUAGGAUAAAACUAAAUUACAAGGACUACAAGAAACAGACACUCAUAUUUUAGUAGAGCACAUGGUGGUUUUGUUCAUCAGUUGAACAAUCAGCAUCUCAGAUAGAUCCAACUGAAGAACUUGUUCCUGGACUUUUGUACUAAAAUAUACUAAAACCAAAAGUCAAAACAUUAGUUAACAGGAAAUUGUUCGGAUACAUGUAGUAAAAGAGAAUUGACAGCAUGAUUUCCAAAUCGAUUGUGCCAAAUAAGUUUUUCCAAAUGAAAAGUCCAACAUACUGUGAUGAAUUCCUCUCAUGGUCUUGCACUUUGCUUUACAUUUGUUUCUAUAUUUGAUCUUGUGGCUAAAACACCGAUUUGCAAGUAAUGAUUUGGACCACCAAGCUGUACUGAAUGCAACUCAAAUGAAUGCCUGUGGACUUCAAGACAGAUACUACAGACAUCGUCCACAGUAUCGGCCAAAAUUCCAGUAACAGCAAUAGGCACUUUCUCUGUGACUUCUGUAGACCAUAAGAAUAGAAGAUAAGGCCAUAUUGUCAGGGAAAGGUUGAAUUUUGUGAAAAAUGACUCCUUUUGAAGAAUUGCCAUGACUGGCAAUAGUGGUGAACAACCUUUCCAUUGGAAUGACUGUCUUUGCAUCAGCACCAUGCACCAUAAGGGCUGGUGACUGGAGGAACAUUCAGCAGCCAGAAAAAUUAAACUGCCUGAAUAAGAGUAGGCUGGCAAGUUUGAAGUGCUGACAGUAGGCUGCAGUGUAUCUUGAAAUAAACAUCUAUCUAUUGGGAGAGGUGAAAUGAAAUUUUCUCAAUAAUAAAACCACUAAAAAAAAGUUUUUGAACUUAACCUGCAGGACCUGCAAAGACAAAGUGUUCAACUGAUCUUUAUUUUUUUAUGAAAACCGAUUUUUUUUUUGAGACAGGGUCUCACUCUGUCGCUCAGGCUGUAGUGCAGUGGCACAAUCUCGCCUCACUGCAGCCUCGACCUCCUGGGCUCAAGUGAUCCUCCCACCUUGGCCUCUGGAGUAGCUGGGAAUACAGGUGCACACCAGCACGCCCAGCUUACUUUUUUUAUUUUGUGUAGAGACUGGGUUUUACCAUGUUGCCUAGGCUGGUCUUGAAAUUCUGGACUCAAGCAAUCCACCUGCUUCAGCCUCCCAAAACGCUGGGAUUACAAGUGUAAGCAAACAUGCCCGGCCCAAAAUUGGUUUUUCCACAGAGACGACAAUCUGAAAUUACUACUAAUUAAAAUAUUUUCCCGGCCGGGC